rnacentral:rRNA from 1 species
UACAGAGGUCCCAAGCGUUGUUCGGAUUCAUUGGGCGUAAAGGGUGCGUAGGUGGCGCUGUAAGUCGGGUGUGAAAUUUCGGAGCUUAACUCCGAAACUGCAUUCGAUACUGCGGUGCUUGAGGACUGGAGAGGAGACUGGAAUUCAUGGUGUAGCAGUGAAAUGCGUAGAGAUCAUGAGGAAGACCAGUGGCGAAGGCGGGUCUCUGGACAGUUCCUGACACUGAGGCACGAAGGCCAGGGAAGCAAACGGG